rnacentral:rRNA from 1 species
GACGAACGCUGGCGGCGUGCUUAACACAUGCAAGUCGGACGGAAAGGCCUCUUUCGGGGGGUACUCGAGUGGCGAACGGGUGAGUAACACGUGAGUAACCUGCCCUUGACUUUGGGAUAACUUCAGGAAACUGGGGCUAAUACCGGAUAGGAGCUCCUGCUGCAUGGUGGGGGUUGGAAAGUUUCGGCGGUUGGGGAUGGACUCGCGGCUUAUCAGCUUGUUGGUGGGGUAGUGGCUUACCAAGGCUUUGACGGGUAGCCGGCCUGAGAGGGUGACCGGCCACAUUGGGACUGAGAUACGGCCCAGACUCCUACGGGAGGCAGCAGUGGGGAAUAUUGCACAAUGGGUGGAAGCCUGAUGCAGCAACGCCGUGUGCGGGAUGACGGCCUUCGGGUUGUAAACCGCUUUCGCUCAUGACGAAGCUUUGUGUGACGGUAGUGGGUAAAGAAGCACCGGCUAACUACGUG